rnacentral:rRNA from 1 species
UACAGAGGUCUCAAGCGUUGUUCGGAUUCAUUGGGCGUAAAGGGUGCGUAGGCGGCGCGGUAAGUCGGGUAUGAAAUCUCGGAGCUUAACUCCGAAACUGCAUUCGAUACUGCCGUGCUUGAGGACUGGAGAGGAGACUGGAAUUUACGGUGUAGCGGUGAAAUGCGUAGAUAUCGUAAGGAAGACCAGUGGCGAAGGCGGCUCUCUGGGACGGUACUGACGCUGAGACGCGAAAGCGUGGGGAGCGAACAGG